AUGUGCAUCCCAAAGAGCAGAGGAGGAAUGGGGUUUCAUGACAUCCAUUGUUUUAAUUUGGCGCUAUUCGCUAAACAAGCAGGGCGGCUUAUUGAUGAUCCCGAAUCUCUCUGUGCAAAGAUUCUUAAAGCAAAAUAUUAUCCUAAUGGUGACCUUAUGAAUGCUAGGUUGAAGAAGAAGGCUUCUUAUACGUGGCAAAGCAUAAUGGUAGGAGUGGAAACUUUGAAACAUGGACACAUUUGGAGGGUGGGUGAUGGUCAAAAAAUUAAGAUAUGGGAGGAUAGUUGGAUCCCACAAUCACCAUCCAGGAAAGUUAUAUCUAGUAGAGGAAAUCAUCUCCUCUCGCGGGUGUCAGAACUUAUUGAUCCAGUGUCAGGUGACUGGGAUUCGCUGCUUGUGAACCAAACUUUUUGUAGUGUUGAUGCUCGGAGAAUUCUUGCAAUCCCACUUCCAGUACAUGAAUGA
rnacentral:rRNA from 1 species